ACUGUAUAUACCUAUAGUCGCAGUUCCGGAUCUCUAGCCUCCUCUGCGACCAUUAUUGAAAGGCAACAUCAUGCAUAUAAUGAUAGAUUUAGAUAAGAUAUUAAAUUUGUAGUUCUAUUUGGCUACAUUAAUUAAAUUAAUUAAAAAUAAAACAGUAUCACCGUAGCAUUUAUAAGAUAAAAACUUUGUAAACUUAUCAUACUGAUUAAUCAAAGAAAUUAUAGUCGAUUGAAAUAAGAAAAAUAUCACAAAUGAUGACCGCCGACCAAAUAAAGCACAAAGUAGAUAACCAAGAAAUAAACAACAUCUUCGGCAAUAGAAUGGUUCCCUGGUGAGAUUUCAGAUCAAGAGUUAAUAUAGCAUAGGUUAA
rnacentral:lncRNA from 1 species